UACGAAGGGUGCAAACGUUGCUCGGAAUUAUUGGGCGUAAAGCGCACGUAGGCGGCUUAGCAAGUCGGAUGUGAAAGCCCUCGGCUCAACCAAGGAAGUGCAUCCGAAACUGCUGAGCUUGAGUACUUAAGAGGAUGCGGAAUUCCCGGUGUAGAGGUGAAAUUCGUAGAUAUCGGGAGGAACGCCAGCGGCGAAGGCGGCGAUCUGGGAAGAUACUGACGCUGAGGUGCGAAAGCGUGGGGAGCAAACAGG
rnacentral:rRNA from 1 species